CUAUACUAUACUGUAUAACGCAGUGUAUUGUUAUGGUGAUGCUUAGUGUGUAGGGCUGCUGCAUGUCAGUGAUUAAAUGUUUUAGGCUAGCUUGUUUUUUUAGGUAGUGUGUAGUUGUGUGGGGAAAAUGUAUUUGUGAUAAUUUAUAAGAGUGUUUAUAAAGAUUCUUAGGGAAAUAGUGCUCUACGAAAAAGGUGUUUGAUGGAUAUUUAAUCUAUUGUCUGUGUGUUUGUCUGUCUGUCUGUCUGUCUGUCUGUCUGUCUGUCUGUCCAGGGGCUCUAUGACCAGUCUGGAAUCCAGUCACAGUGGCUUCUCCCAGCUGAGUGCCACCACCACCACCUCUAGCCAAUCACAGUCCAGCUCCACCGUAUCAAGAAAAACCAGUGCUGUACCAACACCUGCCAAUGAGGACUUAACCUUACCCAGGGGGAUGAGAGAAGUGUUAUGAACUGUAUGGAACAAGGAUCGCCUAUCCUUAAUGCCAUGUGGUGGAACACUGGAGUUCCUAGUACUUGCAUUUAAAGAACUGGAAUAUAUUAUUAAAAUAUACAUGUACAUUUUUUAAUCUGUAUCUAUAAUUAGUGACAUUAAGAUUGCUCUGGAAGUGGAACGUCUGCUAUAUGAGCAUCUGCUGAAUGAAUAAAUGCAUAUGGAGAUGUCUUGCAAACCAUCAUCAUCCUCUUCUUUCUUUCAAUACCAUUAUUCUUUCUUAUUUUAAGGGAAGUGACACAAAUGUUUCCCAUUUUAUUGAAACUGAACAAUAAAGCACUUCCUAUUUUCAGCA